AUGUCUCUCUCGGCCUUUGGGCUAAGUUCAAGAGUAGUAUCGGUUCUGUUAUAUCUGAUACGUGGACUAUCGGUUCACGUGAUAUUAAAUUAAUUGAAAAACUAACCGUAUUGCAUUAUAGUCUCUUCUAUUCGCUCGUUUUGUAUUGGUAGUUAAUAAGUUAGCACAUCUCCU
rnacentral:snRNA from 2 species